UACGUAGGGGGCGAGCGUUGUCCGGAAUUACUGGGCGUAAAGGGUGCGUAGGCGGCAAAUUAAGUUGGAUGUGAAAUACCCGGGCUUAACUCGGGGGGUGCAUUCAAAACUGGUUAGCUAGAGUACAGGAGAGGGAAGCGGAAUUCCUAGUGUAGCGGUGAAAUGCGUAGAUAUUAGGAGGAACACCGGUGGCGAAGGCGGCUUUCUGGACUGACACUGACGCUGAGGCACGAAAGCGUGGGGAGCAAACAGGAUUAGAUACCCUGGUAGUCCCUGAGCGGGCU
rnacentral:rRNA from 1 species